rnacentral:rRNA from 1 species
UACAGAGGGGGCAAGCGUUAUUCGGAAUUAUUGGGCGUAAAGGGCGCGUAGGCGGUCGGACAAGUGGAAGGUGAAAUCCCCGGGCUCAACCUGGGAACUGCCCUCCAAACUGUUUGACUUGAGUCCGGGAGAGGUGGAGUGGAAUUCCCAGUGAUAGCGGUGAAAUGCGUAGAUAUUGGGAGGAACACCAGUGGCGAAGGCGGCUCACUGGACCGGAACUGACGCUG